UACGUAGGGGGCAAGCGUUGUCCGGAUUUAUUGGGCGUAAAGAGCGUGUAGGCGGCCAAGCAGGUCCGCUGUGAAAACUCGAGGCUCAACCUCGAGACGUCGGUGGAAACCGUUUGGCUAGAGUCCGGAAGAGGAGAGUAGAAUUCCCGGUGUAGCGGUGAAAUGCGCAGAUAUCGGGAAGAACACCCGUGGCGAAGGCGGCUCUCUGGGACGGUACUGACGCUGAGACGCGAAAGCGUGGGGAGCGAACAGG
rnacentral:rRNA from 1 species